rnacentral:rRNA from 1 species
CCUACGGGAGGCAGCAGUGGGGAAUCUUAGACAAUGGGGGCAACCCUGAUCUAGCCAUGCCGCGUGAGUGAUGAAGGCCUUAGGGUCGUAAAGCUCUUUCGCCUGUGAUGAUAAUGACAGUAGCAGGUAAAGAAACCCCGGCUAACUCCGUGCCAGCAGCCGCGGUAAUACGGAGGGGGUUAGCGUUGUUCGGAAUUACUGGGCGUAAAGCGCGCGUAGGCGGAUUAGAAAGUUGGGGGUGAAAUCCCGGGGCUCAACCUCGGAACUGCCUCCAAAACUGCUAGUCUAGAGUUCGAGAGAGGUGAGUGGAAUUCCGAGUGUAGAGGUGAAAUUCGUAGAUAUUCGGAGGAACACCAGUGGCGAAGGCGGCUCACUGGCUCGAUACUGACGCUGGGGUGCGAAAGUGUGGGGAGCAAACAGGAUUAGAUACCCUGGUAGUCCACACCGUAAACGAUGAAUGCCAGUCGUCGGGUAGUAUACUAUUCGGUGACACACCUAACGGAUUAAGCAUUCCGCCUGGGGAGUACGGUCGCAAGAUUAAAACUCAAAGGAAUUGACG